GGAUGGUUGAGCCUGGUGAGGUGGCUCAUUCGUGCCCGUUGUUUGUUACCUGUUGACGGGCUGCAGCAGUCGCAGCUGGCUGACAGCUCGCAGUAAUCCUGGUAAUUCACCGAGCAGGGGCUGCACAGCAGCAGCGAGCGUUUCUCAUACUUCCCAAGGCCACAUUUCACCAGGAUCAUCCAUUCCGGCUCAGGCAUUUGACUCUGCUGUGGAAACACAACACUGACAUGAUCUGAUAUGGCGAACUCCAUAGCAAACAGCCUGCUGUUUACGCAUCCAACUGGAGCAACAUUAGUAUUGAGUUGCAGUUAUCUUUCUGGCUACCUGUUCAAAGGUUUGGCUUUACCUCCUCCAAACGGCGCCCAGAUGACCCGCCGUAUGGCCUUGACCCAGUCAUCCAUGUCUGUCUGGGAGUUUGCCAUGAGCAGGAAGGAUUCAUGGCUGAUUGGUGCCCGGUCCUUCUCUCCUGUUCCACCUAUGGGGACAAAUGAGGGGGGAAAAGGAGACAAAAAGUAGAGGUCAGAAAACAGCACUUUGAACUCUGAUGCGGGUUUGUUGGUGUAUCUUGGGAAAAUGGCAUUUCUGGGACAUGCAUGGACGGGAUGCGAGUGAGCGGGCUAGCCCACAAUAACAAAUUAGCAGAAGCUGUCACGUUUGCACAGGCACAAGUGUGUUUUGUGUGUGUGCUGUUUUCCAGAUGGCUUAAUUGCUUCAC